GAAAAUUUAGUUAAAAAAUAACAUUAGCUUGUCAAACUAAAAUUAUUAAAAAUUAAUAAUUUUCU
rnacentral:tRNA from 1 species